CAAAAAGAAGAAGCUUAGAUAACUGCUUAUUUCAUCUUAGAUUCGUGGAAUGCUCUUUCCAUUAAGUAAAUAGGCAAACGUCAACAUUUUUCUUUCAGCAGGGCAUAUAUCUCUAAUAGAUCAUUAACCAGGACGACACAUGCUGACUUAGACAGAGUGCAUGUCCGUCUGUGUUUUUUAAUUGUAGUGACCAGGUUUAUAAUAUGUAGUUGCUUUCUUUUGUGACACUCUUUCAACCACAAAGUCUGCAUGCAGGAAAAGAAGGAGAUGCAAAUUAUAUACUGUACCGGUCCGGCAAUGAUCCUUGCAGGCUGAAAUUUAUAAUCAUCUUUGCAAGGCAUUGCAGAUUGGUAGCUGAAAUCCCAUUAACAUUUUAAGCAGCAGAACACUUUUUUAUCUAAGUGGUACCUAGCCAAACUCCUUAGCAGUUUUAUCUAAGGGAUUAUAAUAACUCAAUAGCUUUUACAGAAAGGAAGCUUUUUUCCACUCGGUAGAGAAGCUGGCAUCCUGCUAAUUGAACUAUUUGAAUGAACCAUCCCGCAACAAUCUACAGACUGAAGAUCUGUUCUCCUUCAUCAAGGAUACAUUUUUGAGAGCCUUCAGGAUCUUUUUCUUCUUCAUGAAGGAUUUUAAGUAUGAAUCUCUGAAGUAUGUCUGCAGGCAUAGUACCUUCACUAUGAGGAAUAAUUCAGUAGAGCCUGUUAGACUGGUUUUCUGAUGAACACCAAAGGAACAAGUUUCUCAGGGUUGCCAUGGAUUACUACCACUGCUGUACUGAAACUGAGUUAGAUACUGGUGAAUCUAUAGAGUACUUGAAACAUAAGAGGGCAUGGUAUGAUGUUUGGUGGGACAUUCAUGCUGCACUGGGCCAAGAGAAGCUCCAGAGUUCAUUGACAAAAGAAACAGCUGGAACAAGAUAGAAGGAAGCAGAGACUGAGCAUAGUUUACUUGGCAUCUGCAGAUGAGUAAUGGCCUGUACUGCAUUAGUACUUUCCUGUUCAGUUGUUUUCACUCUGACACUGCUGAAUCAGUCUGGGUCACAGUGGGUGUAGGGGGGCUUGCCCCCUGCUAAAAACAAAUAAAAUUGAUUUUUUCGUU